rnacentral:rRNA from 1 species
CGGGCGUUAAGUUGCAGGGUAUAGACCCGAAACCCGGUGAUCUAGCCAUGGGCAGGUUGAAGGUUGGGUAACACUAACUGGAGGACCGAACCGACUAAUGUUGAAAAAUUAGCGGAUGACCUGUGGCUGGGGGUGAAAGGCCAAUCAAACCGGGAGAUAGCUGGUUCUCCCCGAAAGCUAUUUAGGUAGCGCCUCGUGAAUUCAUCUCCGGGGGUAGAGCACUGUUUCGGCUAGGGGGCCAUCCCGGCUUACCAACCCGAUGCAAACUGCGAAUACCGGAGAAUGUUAUCACGGGAGACACACGGCGGGUGCUAACGUCCGUCGUGAAGAGGGAAACAACCCAGACCGCCAGCUAAGGUCCCAAAGUCAUGGUUAAGUGGGAAACGAUGUGGGAAGGCCCAGACAGCCAGGAUGUUGGCUUAGAAGCAGCCAUCAUUUAAAGAAAGCGUAAUAGCUCACUGGUCGAGUCGGCCUGCGCGGAAGAUGUAACGGGGCUAAACCAUGCACCGAAGCUGCGGCAGCGACACUGUGUGUUGUUGGGUAGGGGAGCGUUCUGUAAGCCUGUGAAGGUGUGUCGUGAGGCAUGCUGGAGGUAUCAGAAGUGCGAAUGCUGACAUAAGUAACGAUAAAGCGGGUGAAAAG